UCAACUGUCGACUGUGGCAUAGACGCCCACAGUGGUUUUGACGGGUAACGGGGAAUCAGGGUUCGAUUCCGGAGAGGGAGCCUUAAAAACGGCUACCACAUCUAAGGAAGGCAGCAGGCACGCAAAUUACCCAAUGAUCGAAGAUCGAGGUAGUGACGAAAAAUAACGAUCCAGGACUCAUCCGAGGCCCUGGAAUCGGAAUGAGUACACUUUAAAACCGUCCCCGAGGAUCUAUUGGAGGGCAAGUCUGGUGCCAGCAGCCGCGGUAAUUCCAGCUCCAAUAGCGUAUAUUAAAGUUGUUGUGGUUAAAAAGCUCGUAGUUGGAUCUCGGCGGACUGAGGGCGGUUUGCUUGCUAGUAUUACUGCCCUAUAGUCCGUAGUUUUGCCAGAGGUUUCGGGGUGCUCUUAAUCGAGUAUCCCAGGAUGCUGGCAGAUUUACUUUGAAAAAAUUAGAGUGCUCAAAGCAGGCUAUUACGCCUGAAUAUUCGUGCAUGGAAUAAUAGAAUAGGAAGUCGUUUCUAUUUUGUUGAUUUUCGGAAAUCGACUUAAUGAUUAAUAGGGACAGUCGGGGGCAUUUGUAUUCAAACGACAGAGGUGAAAUUCUUGGACCGUUUGAAGACAAACUACUGCGAAAGCAUUUGCCAAGAAUGUUUUCAUUAAUCAAGAACGAAAGUUAAAGGUUCGAAGGCGAUUAGAUACCGCCCUAGUUUUAACCAUAAACGAUGCCAGCUAGCGAUCUGCGGACGUUUUUUUUGUAGACUCCGCAGGAAGCUUCCGGGAAACCAAAGCAUUUGGGUUCCAGGGGAAGUAUGGUUGCAAAGCUGAAACUUAAAGGAAUUGACGGAAGGGCACCACCAGGAGUGGAGCCUGUGGCUUAAUUUGACUCAACACGGGAAAUCUCACCAGGCCCGGACACUGGAAGGAUUGACAGAUUGAUAGCUCUUUCUUGAUUCGGUGGGUGGUGGUGCAUGGCCGUUCUU
rnacentral:rRNA from 1 species